CCCUUAGAUGUUCUGAACCGCACGCGUGUUACACUGAUGCAUUCAACGAGCUUUACCUUGGCCGAGAGGCCUGGGAAAUAUUUUUAGCAUGCAUCGUGAUAGGGAUUGAUUAUUGCAAUUAUUAAUCAUGAACGAGGAAUUCCUAGUAAACGCAUUUCAUCAAAAUGCAUUGAUUACGUCCCUGCCCUUUGUACACACCGCCCGUCGCACCUACCGAUUGAGUGGUCCGGUGAAGUCUCGAGAUUGUGGCAAUCUCCUUUAUUGGAGUUUGACUGCGAGAACUUGCCUAAACCUUAUCACUUAGAGGAAGGUGAAGUCGUAACA
rnacentral:rRNA from 1 species